rnacentral:snRNA from 1 species
GUGCUCACUUCGCAGCACAUAUAUUAAAAUUGGAACCAUACAGGGAAGAUUAACAUGGCCCCUGCUCAAGAAUGACAGGCAAAUUCGAGAAGCAUUUCAUAUUUUU